CCUUGGUUCCAGCGGAGACCAGCAACCAGUUGCUCAGACUUAAAGCAAUAACACAAAUUGAGAUGGGCUUUAUCAGUGCCUGUUAACUUGAGUACUUAUGUAUAUGCUUGUGCUAUGCAAGUUAAACUUUGUAACUCUCCUUUAAAGCACAGUAUGAUUGCAACUUUGUUUUUCUUCUUUGCAAUUACAUUUUAGAGCAGCGGUUUUGGUCUUCCUACAGCUUUCCCAAUAAAGGAACUCCAACAUCAGAAUUCUGAUUAAAAAAACCCCUAAACUUGGUAUCCCUGUUAAGUGACUAUUGUAAACAUAAAAACCUAAUUAAUAUUUGCUGUGAUGUGUGUUUUUCUGUGAGCUUUUCCUGUCUUGGAGGAUUUGCUUUUAUGUGUGACCUUGUCUAUCAUGCCCAGUGAAUGGGGUGAGAAGGAAUAUGGGGCCCUAAUCACAGGGGAUAUAAGACAUGCCUCCUUGUCCCUUAAUCUAGCCUCUUGUUUUGUUUUGCAUUUCACUGAAGAAAUACUCUGCUUUUGAAAGCACUGCUAUAUGCAACACUUAAUCCUGGGAAGAUUAGCCAAAGCUUGUACCAAGGCUGUGAUCGCUCUGUGUCCUGGAUGCUAUGCUGUUCUGUUCCAAGGCUGGUUGUGUUUAUACAACUGUGCUGUGUAAGAAUUAACCACUGCAGCAUAUUCAUGCACUGCCCUUGAGGUGUGUUACUAACCCUUGCUUUCCAUACAUAUGUUUUUUUGUGGUAUCCCUAGCUUUUUGUGAGCGGAAGGCCUCAGGGCUUUCCUUUCAGUCCAAGCAGUAGCAUGUCUCACUUCACUUAUAACCUAAACUGUGACUGGUGGAGCAGGAGGGACAGCUGCUUCAUCACGUGUGCCUGACCUGUGACAGCUUCUGUUUACAAGCAGAGAUGCCUGCAGAAAUGCGUGGAAGUGGAUUGGUGGCAAGCCUGUCAGGGAGACUAAGCUGCACUCUGUAUUAACUGGGAGGAAUUUGAAUGAUGUCUGAUUUGGGUGAAUACCUUUAAAUCAGCAGGCAGAGAGGAGCAGCACUCAAGAAAUCUUAAGACAACUGGCUGAAGUGUUUCCUAUUAAACUGGAAUGAAUUUGUACUGCAGAGAAAUUGGGGAUACUGUGCCUGCAUGGGACAGGACAGAUGACCCUGACACCCAUAAGCUGAGGACAACCUAGUGCAAAAGCAAGGGGAAAGUUAGUAAUUGGUGUUAAGUGAAUAACUGAUAAGAAAGAAAGAAAUGUUGCUAUCAGCUGCUGUAG